rnacentral:rRNA from 1 species
AUGAGGGAAGAGUUGGAGGCCCUGAGAAAGAACAAAACAUGGGAGCUAGCGAAUCUUCCAUAUGGGAAGAAGGCAGUCAGUUGUAAGUGGAUCUUCACAGUGAAGCAGAAUCCUGAGGGUAAGGUUGAGCGUUACAAGGCAAGACUGGUAGCCAGAGGGUACAGCCAAACGUAUGGUAUUGAUUAUGACGAAACAUUCGCCCCAGUUGCAAAGAUGAAUACAGUGAGGAUUCUAAUCUCAUGUGCAGCUAACUUUGGAUGGCCACUACACCAACUUGAUGUAAAAAAUGCCUUUUUACAUGGAGGUCUACAAGAGGAAGUCUACAUGGAAAUUCCUCCUGGACUUUCUACACCUGGGACUGUUGGGAAGGUUUGUAGAUUGAGAAAAUCUCUCUAUGGUUUGAAGCAAUCGCCAAGGGCUUGGUUUGACCGGUUCAGGCAAGCAGUUUGCAGUAUGGAGUAUAAACAAUGCAAUGGAGAUCACACUGUUUUCUAUAAACAUUCCAAGCAACAGAUUACUAUUCUUGCAGUAUAUGUGGAUGACAUCAUAAUAACGGGAGACAAUGAAGAGGAGAUUGGAAGACUAAAGAAAUGCCUAGGCAAAGCAUUUGAAGUUAAGGAUCUUGGUCAGCUAAAAUAUUUCCUGGGUAUCGAAGUUGCAAGAUCAAAGAGGGGAAUAGCCCUGUCUCAGCGGAAGUAUACCUUAGAGCUCCUAAGUGAUAUGGGAAUGCUUGGAUGUAGAGCAGCCCCAACUCCCAUUGAACAAAAUCACAAAUUGACAGCACAGAUGGGUGAACAAGUUAACAAAGCAAAAUAUCAACAAUUGGUUGGCAAACUUCUGUACUUGUGUCACACUAGACCAGAUAUUACAUAUGCAGUAAGUGUAGUAAGUAGAUAUAUGCAUGACCCCAGAAGUGGACACCUUGAUGCAGUCUAUAGAAUCAUGAGGAAUCUAAAGGGCAGCCCUGGUAUGGGACUCUGGUUCAAGAGUAAUGGCCAUUUGAAUGUUGACGGUUAUAGCGAUGCUGAUUGGGCUAGCUGUCUUGAUGAUAGACGAUCAACCUCUGGCUAUUGUGUGUUUGUUGGUGGAAAUUUGGUAUCAUGGAGAAGCAAAAAACAACCGGUGGUGUCAAAAUCAACUGCAGAAGCUGAGUAUAGGGCAAUGUCUCAAGGGCUGAGUGAGAUGUUAUGGGUAAGAGGCCUUCUGCUUGAGCUGAAAGUGCUCAGACAAGAUCCUCUGAAUGUGUGGUGUGACAACAAAUCUGCAAUCAGCAUUGCUAAUAAUCCAGUGCAACAUGACAGAACAAAACAUGUGGAGAUAGACAGAUUCUUUAUCAAAGAGAAACUGGAUGCAGGAAUCAUCAAGAUAACUCAUGUGAGCUCUGGACAACAAGUCGCCGAUUGUCUGACAAAAGGUUUGGGAACCAGGGAGAGCAAUCUUGCUUGUGACAAGAUGGGCAUGAUAGAUAUCUAUCAUCCCUCUUGA